GAAGCUUGCUUCUCUGAUGUUAGCGGCGGACGGGUGAGUACACGUGGAUAACCUACCUAUAAGACUGGGAUAACUUCGGGAAACCGGAGCUAAUACCGGAUAAUAUUUUGAACCGCAUGGUUCAAAAGUGAAAGACGGUCUUGCUGUCACUUAUAGAUGGAUCCGCGCUGCAUUAGCUAGUUGGUAAGGUAACGGCUUACCAAGGCAACGAUGCAUAGCCGACCUGAGAGGGUGAUCGGCCACACUGGAACUGAGACACGGUCCAGACUCCUACGGGAGGCAGCAGUUGGGAAUCUUCCGCAAUGGGCGAAAGCCUGACGGAGCAACGCCGCGUGAGUUAUGAAGGUCUUCGGAUCGUAAAACUCUGUUAUUAGGGAAGAACAUAUGUGUUAGUAACUGUGCACAUCUUGACGGUACCUAAUCAGAAAGCCACGGCUAACUACGUGCCAGCAGCCGCGGUAAUACGUAGGUGGCAAGCGUUAUCCGGAAUUAUUGGGCGUAAAGCGCGCGUAGGCGGUUUUUUAAGUCUGAUGUGAAAGCCCACGGCUCAACCGUGGAGGGUCAUUGGAAACUGGAAAACUUGAGUGCAGAAGAGGAAAGUGGAAUUCCAUGUGUAGCGGUGAAAUGCGCAGAGAUAUGGAGGAACACCAGUGGCGAAGGCGACUUUCUGGUCUGUAACUGACGCUGAUGUGCGAAAGCGUGGGGAUCAAACAGGAUUAGAUACCCGGGUAGUCCACGCCGUAAACGAUGAGUGCUAAGUGUUAGGGGGUUUCCGCCCCUUAGUGCUGCAGUAACGCAUUAAGCACUCCGCCUGGGGAGUACGACCGCAAGGU
rnacentral:rRNA from 1 species